CCUACGUGCGGCAGCAGUGAGGAAUAUUGGUCAAUGGGCGCGAGCCUGAACCAGCCAAGUAGCGUGAAGGAUGACUGCCCUACGGGUUGUAAACUUCUUUUAUAAAGGAAUAAAGUGAGGCACGUGUGCCUUUUUGUAUGUACUUUAUGAAUAAGGAUCGGCUAACUCCGUGCCAGCAGCCGCGGUAAUACGGAGGAUCCGAGCGUUAUCCGGAUUUAUUGGGUUUAAAGGGAGCGUAGAUGGGUUGUUAAGUCAGUUGUGAAAGUUUGCGGCUCAACCGUAAAAUUGCAAUUGAUACUGGCAGUCUUGAGUACAGUUGAGGUAGGCGGAAUUCGUGGUGUAGCGGUGAAAUGCUUAGAUAUCACGAAGAACUCCGAUUGCGAAGGCAGCUUACUAAACUGCCACUGACAUUGAUGCCCGAAAGUGUGGGUAUCAAACAGGAUUAGAUACCCCAGUAGUC
rnacentral:rRNA from 1 species